rnacentral:misc_RNA from 1 species
AAGUCGUAACAAGGUUUCCGUAGGUGAACCUGCGGAAGGAUCAUUAAUAAAGAAAUGCACGCUCGCAAGAGGUGCGCUCUUUAAUUCCACACACUGUGCACUUGAACCUUUUAUAAACACUUGAAUUGUAACAAGUUAAUGAUGUAGAAUUGAAAAAUCAAAUAAAA